ACGGAAGGCAGCAGUGGGGGAUAUUGGUCAAUGGGGGAAACCCUGAACCAGCGACGCCGCGUGAGUGAAGAAGUAUUUCGGUAUGUAAAGCUCUAUCAGCAGGGAAGAAAAAAUCAAAAUUGACAGUACCUGACUAAGAAGCCCCGGCUAAAUACGUGCCAGCAGCCGCGGUAAUACGUAUGGUGCAAGCGUUAUCCGGAUUUACUGGGUGUAAGGGAGCGUAGGCGGCUAUGCAAGUCAGGUGUGAAAACCCGGGGCUCAACUCCGGGACUGCACUUGAAACUGCGAAGCUCGAGUACGGGAGAGGCAAGUGGAAUUCCUAGUGUAGCGGUGAAAUGCGUAGAUAUUAGGAAGAACACCAGUGGCGAAGGCGACUUGCUGGACCGCAACUGACGCUGAGGCUCGAAAGCGUGGGGAGCAAACAGGAUUAGAUACCCUGGUA
rnacentral:rRNA from 1 species